rnacentral:rRNA from 1 species
ACAGAGGUGCCAAGCGUUAGGCGGAAUCACUGGGCUUAAAGCGUGUGUAGGCGGAUCGUUAAGUACCUUGUGAAAUCCCACGGCUUAACCGUGGAACUGCUCGGUAUACUGGCGAUCUUGAGCCACCUAGGGGCAACUGGAACAAGCGGUGGAGCGGUGAAAUGCGUAGAUAUCGCUUGGAACGCCAACGGUGAAAACAGGUUGCUGGGGGUGUGCUGACGCUGAGACACGAAAGCCAGGGGAGCGAACGGGAUUAGAUACCCCGGUAGUCCUGGCCCUAAACGAUGUCGACUAGAUCGUAGUGCCUCUGACGGUAUUACGGUCGAAGCAAAAGUGCUAAGUCGACCGCCUGGGAAGUACGGUCGCAAGGCUA